GAUGAAGAACGUAGCGAAAUGCGAUACUUGGUGUGAAUUGCAGAAUCCCGUGAACCAUCGAGUCUUUGAACGCAAGUUGCGCCUGAAGCCUCGGCUAAGGGCACGUCUGCCUGGGCGUCACGCAUCGCGUCUCCCCCAAACCGCCAAGGCGGAGGGGAAGGAAGAUGGCUUCCCGUGCCUCACCCGGCGCGGUUGGCCUAAAUUUGGAGCCCGCGGCACUUAGCUCACGCGGCGAUAGGUGGUGAACAAGGCCUUGGCCGUGCAAACAACCCGCUGCGAAGCUCUAUGUCACGUGCGCUCGUCGGACCCUUUGAAGUUGCCUUCGGUGACUUAAAACCUUUGCGACCCCAGGUCAGGCGGGGCUACCCGCUGAAUUUAAGCAUAUCAAUAAGCGGAGGA
rnacentral:misc_RNA from 1 species